rnacentral:lncRNA from 1 species
UAGAGUUGAUAAUACCUAACCAGUAGGAUUGUUGUAAGGAUUAAAUGGGUAAAAAGUCAGUGUAGAUACGUUUACAACUGGAGCACAUACUUAGUAAAUGCUUAGUGACUAUUCUAUCAACUUAGUGGGCAAUACUUAAAAUGAGAUGUGGUGCCUAUUGUGAACCCUGGUGUCCAUGGGGCAUGUCAUGUGUAAAAUUCAGGGUAUGGCAGUCUCAUCUUGGUAAGGAUUUAUAAAUGAAAAUUUCCCAGGCAGGCCUAGUCAGAAUGACAGCUUGCAUCCUUAAAGACCAUAGGAAAUUGUGUGGCUUCAAGCAUCACUAACUUUUAUGUCAAGGUCCAUAGACUUGCAUUUUCAAGAGCAACUCCUCAACUCUUACCCUGCUAUUUACAAGUGCUGAUCCUCAAAUGAUGUUUCCAGUUACUAUGCGAGUUAGAAGUCAGGUUUUUCUUGUCUUUCACAUUUUUCUCCUUCAUAUAGCCUAGUGCUAAGCCCUUACAUUUCUUGCUUAAAAUAUCUCUCCCAGAUCUGAGGUUUUGACUUCAUGUUCCCAACCUUAGUGCAAGCUCUUAGCACCCCCUCCCCACUAGGUUAGAGUAAGAAUCUCUUGGCUUAUUUCCCUGACAGAAGGUACUUCUCCUAUAUGUAAGCUGCCAUAGCACCACUAGAAAAAUCUUUCCAAAAUUGUAAUUUGAUAUAGUAUGUCCCCUUCAGCUAUCUAUAAUAAUUCCAUGACAAUAAAUGCAACCUCUCCACCACUUACUUCAUUUUGGUUUUGAAUUCUACAAAGCACAGAUUUAAGAAGCACAAGUUCUUGCAUCCUCCUUCACCACUGAAGUCCCUGUUAGGCUGGGUAUGUUCAAAGGAACCCCUGCAGAGGCCAUGAUUCAUCCUCACCUCAUAUUUAAAAUGUCCCAUUCCUUGGACCGGACUGCACUAGUCUUAACUACUUAGUAGGAAGUAGGCUCAGUUCUUUAUUUCCCUUGAUGGUUUUUUUUUUUUUUUUGAUGCUAAUAUUUUCUUCUUCAAUUUAUUUUAUCUUACUUUACUUCCGUUCUUAAAGAAAUACUGAGUUGUUCUCCAGUGGUUUCAUUUCUGAAUGACAUCAACAUUAUACUUCCAUUUGCGUCCAUUGCUAUAAGUUGGUAAUACAUGUUUUUCAUAAUCAUCUGAUGAUCUUAAGGGAGUGCCAGGUUUCGAGGAAAUUCUCAGGUUCUCUAUAAUGAGUCAUAUGGUAAUCUUCAUGUUAGAUAUUGAAUCUCAAAUGCACUUCAUCUUUAAAUUUUAUCUCAAAAUACAUUUAAAUAACUUAUAAUACUCAAAUCUCAUUAGACUGGUUAAUAAAUCUUAAAACAUAAGUGAUAAGCAUCCAUUCCUGCAGUUUUAUAUCAAUGAAAUGUAUCUAGAUAUACUAUUGCAGCCAUCUUGUAGACCUAAAGAUAAGUUCUAAGAAUGCUGUAGCUCUUCUGUAAAGCAUUCUACCUAACCUAGAAAAUCGGUAAACACCCAGGAAAACAAAACACAAAACAAAAC